AACGAACGCUGGCGGCAUGCCUAACACAUGCAAGUCGAACGAGAUCCUUCGGGGUCUAGUGGCGCACGGGUGCGUAACGCGUGGGAAUCUGCCCUUAGGUUCGGAAUAACAGUUAGAAAUGACUGCUAAUACCGGAUGAUGACGUUAAGUCCAAAGAUUUAUCGCCUGAGGAUGAGCCCGCGUAGGAUUAGCUAGUUGGUGUGGUAAAGGCGCACCAAGGCGACGAUCCUUAGCUGGUCUGAGAGGAUGAUCAGCCACACUGGGACUGAGACACGGCCCAGACUCCUACGGGAGGCAGCAGUGGGGAAUAUUGGACAAUGGGCGCAAGCCUGAUCCAGCAAUGCCGCGUGAGUGAUGAAGGCCUUAGGGUUGUAAAGCUCUUUUACCCGAGAUGAUAAUGACAGUAUCGGGAGAAUAAGCCCCGACUAACUCCGUG
rnacentral:rRNA from 1 species